rnacentral:rRNA from 1 species
AUGAACGCUGGCGGCGUGCCUAAUACCUGCAAGUCGAGCGAACAGACGAGGAGCUUGCUCCUCUGACGUUAGCGGCGGACGGGUGAGUAACACGUGGAUAACCUACCUAUAAGACUGGGAUAACUUCGGGAAACCGGAGCUAAUACCGGAUAAUAUAUUGAACCGCAUGGUUCAAUAGUGAAAGACGGUUUUGCUGUCACUUAUAGAUGGAUCCGCGCCGCAUUAGCUAGUUGGUAAGGUAACGGCUUACCAAGGCAACGAUGCGUAGCCGACCUGAGAGGGUGAUCGGCCACACUGGAACUGAGACACGGUCCAGACCCCUACGGGAGGCAGCAGUAGGGAAUCUUCCGCAAUGGGCGAAAGCUUGACGGAGCAACGCCGCGUGAGUGAUGAAGGUCUUCGGAUCGUAAAACUCUGUUAUUAGGGAAGAACAAAUGUGUAAGUAACUAUGCACGUCUUGACGGUACCUAAUCAGAAAGCCACGGCUAACUACGUG